rnacentral:misc_RNA from 1 species
GUUUGGAUACGACCGCAAAAACGAAGGAAGAAUACAUGUUUCGGAGGGCUCAGGACCGCUUUUCGAAUCCCACGAAAUAAUCAUUACUUUAACGCGUGCGCCUUACCAUUCCUGAAACAACUUCCAUGAAAAUCUUUUCGCCUCGCUUCCAUUCCCAAACAUUCAAAGAACUUUCCAAGAUGCAAUCGACGUAGCAUUAAAAGAGAUCAACUUGAAAGUUUUUUGGGGAAAAAAGCGAUUUCAAUUCGGUCCUUAUCUUUUCGAAAAAUCCAAAAACAACUCAACAGAUGCCUGAAAGCUUGAUUACAAACACUUACAGCGCAAUGGCUGAAGCUGAACCUGAUUUAAGCACGUUCGAAAAUAAAUCAGGAUUAGCCGAAGACAUGAAGUUUUUGGCUUCCAUGCCGGAACUUUGUGAUGUUACCUUUCUCGUUGGAGAUACUCGAGAACCAGUUUGUGCCGUUAAAGCUGUUUUAGCCGCAAGAUCGAGAGUGUUCCAUAAAAUGCUAUAUCAAGUAAAACAAAAAGAGGCCCCUAGUCCACAAAGAAAAAAGGAAGCCCCGCCUAGAGAGAAUAAAUUAAGACUUUUUUUGAAAAGAUCCUCCGAGCCCUUAUUAAAUUUACAAUCGGCAUCGCAACAGAGGGGCUUUACCCAACAACUGGCUCCGAUCCAAGAGCCAACUUCACAGCAACAUCAAACGCUGAUCAUCGAAGAAUUCGAACCGGAUGUCUUCAGGCAACUAAUCGAGUACAUUCACACAGGCUGCGUUACUUUACAACCAAGAACUCUUUUAGGUGUUAUGAAUGCUGCCGAUUAUUACGGAUUAGAUGAAUUAAGAAGAGCUUGUGCUGGUUUCGUGCAAUGUUGUAUUAACGUCGAUACGGUUUGUGCGUUAUUAGCGUCAGCCGAGCGAUAUAUUCAGUAUAAAUGUACGAAAUCUUUGGUGCAAAAAGUUUUGGAGUUCGUUGACGAGCACGGAAACGAAGUUUUAAAUCUUGGGUCGUUCACUUUACUGCCACAACAUGUUGUACGAUUAAUUUUAGCGAGGGAUGAGCUCCAAGCGGAUGAAUUCACAAAGUUUCAAGCUGCGUUAAUGUGGGGGAAGAAGUUUUGUGAUAACAACCCCAAUACUCCGUUAAAAGAAGUGAUUGGAAAUUUUUUGGAAUACAUUCAGUUUCAUAAGAUUCCAGCAAACGUUUUAAUGCGGGAGGUUCAUCCGUUGGGUUUGGUUCCUUAUCAUAUAAUAAUGACGGCGUUGGCGUAUCAGGCAGACCCGGCAAGUGUCGACCCCGGAAAAUUGUCUCCCAAUCGAGUGAGAAGACAUCAACAAGGCAGAUCGAUGUCCGUUCAAAGUUCGUUGGAUCCCUACGGCUCCAAUACAACACUGAGCAGCAGUGGAUCCAGCGAAUUGGUCUCUUCUGACGGAAAACAUUCGACGAGCAACUAACAAACGGCCAGCAUCGCGCCCCAUCCACCGAAAACGCCCCAAAAGGCUCAACAAUCACAUCAUCAUCAUCCCCUACAACCACCACAUCCCUCUCCACAACCACCCCCCAUUGUGAUUACGGCCAACGUAUCUCCAACUGCCGCAACAACCUCUUCUGCCUUCGAAGAUACUACAACGACCACAGCACCACUUUACACAUUCACAUUUACGAUUGUGUUAAAGAAGGUUACUAAAAUACAAGAAUAAAAAUGGCUGAAUAUAAAUCAGAAGAAGAUCUUAGUAUCGAUUUAGACAAAUUGGUUAUUAAGGAAGAGUAAUUUCCUUU